CUACGGGUCGCUCCAGGCGAGAAAACUUUGCAAUGUGGGAAAGCACGACAAGGUUAAUCCGAGUGGUUUGUGCUAAACGAACCUUUUGACAGUCCUAGAAACACUGUUGAAUAAGGGGUGGGCAAGUUCUGGUGUCAGCCGCCGCGGUAAAACCAGCACCUCAAGUGGUCAGGAUGAUUAUUGGGCCUAAAGCAUCCGUAGCCGGCUCUGUAAGUUUUCGGUUAAAUCUGUACGCUCAACGUACAGGCUGCCGGGAAUACUGCAGAGCUAGGGAGUGGGAGAGGUAGACGGUACUCGGUAGGAAGGGGUAAAAUCCUUUGAUCUAUUGAUGACCACCUGUGGCGAAGGCGGUCUACCAGAACACGUCCGACGGUGAGGGAUGAAAGCUGGGGGAGCAAACCGGAUUAGAUACCCUAGUAGUC
rnacentral:rRNA from 1 species